UCAAGGAGAAGACCAAAACAAUUAUUGAAGAUUGUUAAUUGGUUACAAGCUAUGUGCCUUACAAUUCUUCACCUCACUGUUUCAACAGCUGAUCAUAUGGUUCUUUACUCAUUCAGUGUCAAGGUGGAAGAUAAUUGUCAGCUAAAUACAGUGAGUGAUAUAGCAAGUGCUGUGCAUGAAAUGGUGGCCAUGAUAAUUAAGGAGGAGGCUAUGUCUUGUUGAGAUGACCUGUCUCUUCUUCUUGUCCUCCACCCCCCAAUGAAAAAACAAAUAUUAAAAUUAAAGCUAUUUCUUCUCAAGAUUGUAUGUAUAAUUUCUUGUCAUUAUCAAAUCAUUGCUUUCUUUAGAUUA